GAGAAAAAUACCCGGUGAUUCUGCCUGUGACGGGAACAUGUUUCCUCUGUUUGUAACAGAACAACUCGACUCUUGGCCUGAGAGAGAUUCAUGAAAGAAAUUGGGUAUGCAAUAAUUUAUUCUAUUUGAAUUUUGUCGAAAUAUAAUCACAUAUUCUUCCGUUUGCAUUGAUAUUUUUAGAGAGUCCGAGCAACAUAGAAUUCCAGUACUUCUUUUAGUAGUACUCAAUGUUGGUUGGAAAUAACUAGUGCCAUAUAUAAAUACCUUCCCUGGAACAAUCAGCGGCGAAGCCUCAUAGACCAAAGGUUGGUCAGAUAAACAUCCUUCAAUUUAACCCAAAUAAUGCACAUCUCUAAACUUGAUAUUUAAGUGAGAAGAGUAGGAGACGGACUCAUUAUCCUUUAAUUUCCAAGGUUGCAACAAAUCUAUCGAUAAAAAAAGCUAACAAAGGAAGUAAUAAAGGUUGUACCUAUAUAUCAUUUAAGACUACAAAUGUAGAAAAAUUAA
rnacentral:lncRNA from 1 species